GAUGAACGCUGGCGGCGUGCCUAAUACAUGCAAGUCGAGCGAACAGACGAGGAGCUUGCUCCUCUGACGUUAGCGGCGGACGGGUGAGUAACACGUGGAUAACCUACCUAUAAGACUGGGAUAACUUCGGGAAACCGGAGCUAAUACCGGAUAAUAUAUUGAACCGCAUGGUUCAAUAGUGAAAGACGGUUUUGCUGUCACUUAUAGAUGGAUCCGCGCCGCAUUAGCUAGUUGGUAAGGUAACGGCUUACCAAGGCGACGAUGCGUAGCCGACCUGAGAGGGUGAUCGGCCACACUGGAACUGAGACACGGUCCAGACUCCUACGGGAGGCAGCAGUAGGGAAUCUUCCGCAAUGGGCGAAAGCCUGACGGAGCAACGACGCGUGAGUGAUGAAGGUCUUCGGAUCGUAAAACUCUGUUAUUAGGGAAGAACAAAUGUGUAAGUAACUAUGCACGUCUUGACGGUACCUAAGCAGAAAGCCACGGCUAACUACGU
rnacentral:rRNA from 1 species